GACGAACGCUGGCGGCGUGCUUAACACAUGCAAGUCGAACGGAAAGGCCCUGCUUUUGUGGGGGGCUCGAGUGGCGAACGGGUGAGUAACAUGUGAGUAACCUGCCCUGGACUUUGGGAUAACUUCAGGAAACUGGGGCUAAUACCGGAUAGGAGCUCCUGCUGCAUGGUGGGGGUUGGAAAGUUUCGGCGGUUGGGGAUGGACUCGCGGCUUAUCAGCUUGUUGGUGGGGUAGUGGCUUACCAAGGCUUUGACGGGUGGCCGGCCUGAGAGGGUGACCGGCCACAUUGGGACUGAGAUACGGCCCAGACUCCUACGGGAGGCAGCAGUGGGGAAUAUUGCGCAAUGGGCGGAAGCCUGAUGCAGCGACGCCGCGUGCGGGAUGACGGCCUUCGGGUUGUAAACCGCUUUCGCCUGUGACGAAGCGUGAGUGACGGUAAUGGGUAAAGAAGCACCGGCUAACUACGUG
rnacentral:rRNA from 1 species